rnacentral:rRNA from 1 species
CCAAACUGUUGCCUCGGCGGGAUCUCUGCCCCGGGUGCGUCGCAGCCCCGGACCAAGGCGCCCGCCGGAGGACCAACCAAAACUCUUUUUGUAUACCCCCUCGCGGGUUUUUUUAUAAUCUGAGCCUUCUCGGCGCCUCUCGUAGGCGUUUCGAAAAUGAAUCAAAACUUUCAACAACGGAUCUCUUGGUUCUGGCAUCGAUGAAGAACGCAGCGAAAUGCGAUAAGUAAUGUGAAUUGCAGAAUUCAGUGAAUCAUCGAAUCUUUGAACGCACAUUGCGCCCGCCAGUAUUCUGGCGGGCAUGCCUGUCCGAGCGUCAUUUCAACCCUCGAACCCCUCCGGGGGGUCGGCGUUGGGGAUCGGCCCUGCCUCUUGGCGGUGGCCGUCUCCGAAAUACAGUGGCGGUCUCGCCGCAGCCUCUCCUGCGCAGUAGUUUGCACACUCGCAUCGGGAGCGCGGCGCGUCCACAGCCGUUAAACACCCAACUUCUGAAAUGUUGACCUCGGAUCAGGUAGGAAUACCCGCUGAACUUAAGCAUAUCAAUAAGCGGAGGAA